rnacentral:sRNA from 1 species
UAGGUAUCGAGUAUAUGGGGAUAAAUAUCUUACAUUCAACGACCAGAAUACGCGUAAAAACGAAUGGGGGGGAUAACCCCCCCCAUUUUAUCGCUU